rnacentral:lncRNA from 1 species
CUCAUUUAUAAAGUGAUGAAAAGAAAUCAUUGCAAGUGCUGCUAAAUGAUUGAAGAUGACUUCAGGGACACGUUGAGCUUGCUCUCUGCUGCAGAAUAAUAGACAAAUGCCAGAAGGAUCCCUGAGAGAGCAGUCAUGGAAGAGAGCCCGAAAUGGAAAGAAGCAGUGCUGUGUAGCUGUUUCUUCCAGUUUGAAACAUUCCUUUGGAGAAGGAAGAGGGAGGCUUAUAAGACUCAAGAAGAAACGUGAGGCCUUUACAGUAUCAGACGUUUAAGAAAGUUAUGACCCACCGGGCUUCUUCUCAAGAUUGUAAGUGCUGUGCAUGUUGCCAUCUAACAACAAAGCAUUUGGUUUGCUCCUGCUUAGCCUCAACAUCUUUAACCAUCAUGGAAAAUGCAUCAAAG